GAGUGGCGGACGGGUGAGUAAUGUCUGGGAAACUGCCUGAUGGAGGGGGAUAACUACUGGAAACGGUAGCUAAUACCGCAUAACGUCGCAAGACCAAAGAGGGGGACCUUCGGGCCUCUUGCCAUCGGAUGUGCCCAGAUGGGAUUAGCUAGUAGGUGGGGUAACGGCUCACCUAGGCGACGAUCCCUAGCUGGUCUGAGAGGAUGACCAGCCACACUGGAACUGAGACACGGUCCAGACUCCUACGGGAGGCAGCAGUGGGGAAUAUUGCACAAUGGGCGCAAGCCUGAUGCAGCCAUGCCGCGUGUAUGAAGAAGGCCUUCGGGUUGUAAAGUACUUUCAGCGGGGAGGAAGGGAGUAAAGUUAAUACCUUUGCUCAUUGACGUUACCCGCAGAAGAAGCACCGGCUAACUCCGUGCCAGCAGCCGCGGUAAUACGGAGGGUGCAAGCGUUAAUCGGAAUUACUGGGCGUAAAGCGCACGCAGGCGGUUUGUUAAGUCAGAUGUGAAAUCCCCGGGCUCAACCUGGGAACUGCAUCUGAUACUGGCAAGCUUGAGUCUCGUAGAGGGGGGUAGAAUUCCAGGUGUAGCGGUGAAAUGCGUAGAGAUCUGGAGGAAUACCGGUGGCGAAGGCGGCCCCCUGGACGAAGACUGACGCUCAGGUGCGAAAGCGUGGGGAGCAAACAGGAUU
rnacentral:rRNA from 1 species